rnacentral:lncRNA from 1 species
UCCCUUCACCAAAACAAAUAUCACAAAGAAAAAAUCAGCUAUCAAAUUCUCAAAGUAUAUCAGAAUCAAAAUCUGGAAGCUGCCUAUUAUCUAGCACUACAACAACAACUAAUGACCAAAGGCAUAACAACGAUUCCUUUCAAUCGAAUCCUUAAUUGCGCAAUUAUGUGUGUUCACGAGAUGAAUCCAGAGAUCAGAGACGUUACGGGAGCAUAAUAAGGUCGAAAACGGAGUGGUGAUAUCAGAGAGAAGUAUCGGCGACGAUCUUGAUUCCAUGGCAUGCAUCAACUCCAACCUGAUUCUUCACGGAGGCCACCGUUACAUCUGCACCGCCUCGCCGCAGCACAUCGAUCAUCACCACCACUUCGAACGGCUUGGUACCAUGCGCCACGGAAUGUAUCAUCCACUGUUAUAUUGGAGUGAGUGAUUGACGAUGGUAGCUUUCACUCGGAAACGAUCUUAUUUGGUUCACUACAAAUCAUAACAUAGGGAAGAGGGGUUGACUAAGUCGAAGCUUAAGAACUCACUUUGGAGAGCGUUCUCUUUGAACUCCACAAACAAUGAUGUCUAAAAAGCCAUGAUUGUUAGGAAUAUAUAUAUAUAUAUAUAAAGCUCUAGAAAUCAUGAGUAAGAUGAAAUCAUGCAAAAAAUAUUUUUAGAAAUCAUAUAAUUUUCCAAAAAAUAAUUAUGCUAACUAGCUAAGACUUGGUUCAAAAAGAAUUAUAUAUUACUUCGCGCAUUCAUUUACAUUAUAUUAGGCAACAAAACCUAUAAAUUAUGCAGCCUAAUAUUGUAUGAAGCAUAAAUAUAAAUUUAUAUUUUUUGAAAAUAUAUGAAAUUUACUUUAUCAAGAAAAAAUAUAAAAUUAAACAUGUUUUAGUAGUAUUUUAAGGAAUUUUUUUUUUAAAAUAACAAAACAUGCGUGCAAUAUUUUUAAAAAACGACAAAUCAGCAAAAUAAUAUGUUAUAGUACUGGGUAAUUCUAUCUAUGUUAAAACAAAACAACAUCUCCAAAUUAUUUACCACUCUAGGUCUUUCUAAAAUUAAUUAAAAAAGUUUUACACAAUUAACAUGUUUUAAAUACAUCAUAAAAAUGUACAAAAUAUCUAGCCCAUUAAACUGGAUAAACCAGUAACCACAUUGUUUCUCUUAAGUAAAACCCUAUUGUUUAGCCUCAUAUUGAAAAAUUAUUUUAAAAAAAAACAUUUGUCUCCCCAAAAAGGUGUGAUCUUGCUUUCUUUCCAAUCAGAGCCAGACAACUAUUCUAACUAAUUAUAUUUUAUCCAUAAUAAUUAAUAAUAAAAAUUAAACUAGGCGGGACAAACUAUUGAGAGCAAACUGCAUAAUUUUAUUGUAGACCAACAUAAAAAAUGAAAACAAAAUUAUGAAAUUUACAAAGUCUUAAAUCUCAUGGUACGUCCAAGUGACAUGUAAUUUAGGGUGAGACCGCAUCCACAUAUAUAAUACAGAUCAUUCAAGUAACAACAAUACUCUCGAUGAAAGGAAAAUAUUUCCCAUAUAUAUAUUCAUACAAGUACAUUGACCAUACAUAACUUUCCAUAGUUAAUGGUGCUAUGGUAUGUUUGGUUAUGCGAAGUUUGUUUGGUUGAGAGAUGGUGUAUUUUUGAGUUAUGGAAAGCGAGGGUUUAUAACCACUUCAAAGAGAAAUAUUGAUGGUGAAUCUAUAGGCAUUAAUUGUAAAGAAACUGAAAGUAAUUAUGUAUUUGUUAAAGAGAUGAAGUGGUGACUUAAUGGUUUAAGGGAAGUGGAAAUGUUGAACGGAGGUUGGACGGAGGUUGGAAGCUAGGAUGAGAACCUAAGGAGGUUUCGUCGUUUUUGGUAUGUAUACAUUAACAUAGUGGACGACGAGCUAAAUUUGAGUUCAAUAUGUGUACAUUCGAUAAAGCAAGUUUGCAGGAAUGUAGUAUAUUAGAUAACUCAGCAAUACAAAAAAUACAAUUAUCGCUAUGAGACAUAUAACGUUGGAGAUAGUACAUUUUCAAACGAAUAUACUGUUCAAACCAAUAUAAUUCAGUAUAAUAUAUAUUAAAUACAAAAUUAUAUACAAAAUACAAUCUUAAGAUACAUAAUAUUUUAUAUUAUUAAUAAUUAUUUUCUUUCAUCGUAUAUUCACAUAUAAGAAUUUAUAUAAAAAUAAAAAUAUCAAAUAUGUAUCAUCUUACAUAAUUAAUAAUAUUUGUUUGUUUUGAUGUCACAACCUUUGAAUGAAAUUGUAUAUUCUAGGUUUGCAGCAAUAAAACUUUAAAAAAAAAAAUGAUAAUAUAGUUAUCCAACAAGUAGAUCUUUUUAAAACAAUAUAAUUAGUUCAUCACAUUUGGAACAAAUAAAAACAAAACACCCACUGCCAAUAAAACUCUCUAAUAAUUUAAUGUAAAAGGAAACUGGUUGAUAAUAUUUGAAAUAAUAUUGGAUUACAAUACAAGGUUAAAACUCACAAGAAUUGAAAAUUUUAAAACGAGUUUGAAUAUCAUUUAGUUAAGUUAUUAUUUAGAUUAUUUAGCCUGAAUAAUAUGUUACAUUGAAAAUACCCAAAUUUAAGUGAAUUGAUCAUAUAAGCAUUGUUUAAUUGCUGCUAAAACAUAUAUAACCUUACAAAUAGAGUCGAAACAUAUAAAUAACACUCAUAUAGUUAUAGAAAUUUAUGAGUUUCUAAUGAAAAUUAAUCAAAAUAUCAUGUCGUUGUGAUAACAAUCAUUAACCCAAAAUUUUAUAAAAAAAUAAACAAACAAUACUUAUUAUGCUAGAUGAUUUAUAACUAUUUUUCUUAUCAAUUUUUGGAAACAUUAUUAGUUGCUUAAACACCAGUAACACAAUUUUAUUUCACGACAUAACUAACAUCACCAUAAAAACAACUCAGUACAAAAAGAUAGUGUUGAAAUUUCAGCUUCAUCCAAUUAAAGAAGUUCAUCAAGAAAACCAAAACAAAAUACGCUUCAAAACUAGAAAUCGAUCAAAAGUAUUGCCAGUAUCACUUUUCUUUGUCAAACUCUAAGGAAAUAAGAGUCAAGUCAAUACAUGAGUUAGAGCUACAUUUCCCAUCUACACUCAUAAAAAAUAAUCGAGGAAACACAACUAUGAAAAACUUUCCGACAUCAUCUGAGCUGUCUUUAUAUUCUAUCUAAAUACAAUUUUGGUAGUUUGGUAAACUAAUAAAAAAAUUCAUUACAAAAUAAUGAGAAAAAAUUAUAUGCAACAUUCAAACAACAAAAAUCACAGUAUGUUUCCCCUCAUAUAUUAUAUACCUUACAUACUACAUAGUUUAUAUACCAUAAAAUCUUUUGUAAUAUUUUAUAUUCACACAACAAAAUUAAUUAUAAAAAUAUUCUUUUGAGUACUGUUGAAUAACCCAUAAUUAGAAUCUUGUUUACAGGGAUUUCAACAUAUGAAAAUUUCAUCUUAUAAUUUUUAAUUAAUUUUAGCUUGUUUAUUUUUUAUAAAAGCAUGUAUAUAUAUUAUUUCAAAAUUGACUACCAAAAAUAUAAGUAAUAAUACGCAAAUUAAUUUAUUAUGUUGUCCAACGAAUUUGAAAUGAAUAAACUCAGCGGUUGAUUGGUAAUGGUGGUAAAUGUUUUAGACAUCUACUUUUUCUAACAAUUUUUUUUUUUUUUAAAAAACCAAUCAUAUUUUAGAUUUUAAAAUUAAAGAUACAAUAUAGAGUUUAAAAAAAACAUAAUAUAUUAGUUUUCAAAAUCAACUUUUCUAAAGAUUUUAUUUAGUGCUUUCAAAAUAAAUAUAUAACAAACAGUUAAAGCCGAAGCAAAACAAUUCACAGCUUAUUUUCUAAAGUAAAAACAAAAACAAAAACUACAUAACAACCAAUCAACCCCUCACUCUAAAAUACAAUUUUUAAGUACCACUUUUCAUGUUUACGUUAACCAAUUUUACCCUCAUUUUUAAUGAAAGGUAAAAGACAUUUAUAACAAAUUGAUUAACUUUGACAAAAAAAAAAAACAUAAGGUUAACUAAUUUAAACUUAAAACAUCAACUCUAAACCUUAAAUCAUCAACUCUAAACCCUAAACCAUAAAACAUCAACUCUAAACCCUAAACCCCGAAACAUCAACAAUAUACUCUAAACCUUAAACCCUAAACCCUAAACCCUAAACUCUAAAGCCUAAACCCUAAACCCUAAACCUUCAAACCUAAACCCGAAAACAUCAACUCUAAACCCUAAACAUAAACCCUAAACCCUAAAUCUAAAACUUAAAACAUCAACUUUAAACCCUAAAUCAUCAACUCUAAACCCUAAACCAUGAAACAUCAACUCUAAACCCUAAACCCUAAACUCUAAACCUUCAAAUCUAAACCCUAAAAUAUCAACUCUAAACCCUAAAUGUAAACCCAAAACCCUAUAUUUUUCUGAAAUUCGAACCCUAAACCCUAAACCAUGAAACAUCAACUUUAGAGUUGAUGUUUUACGGUUUAGGGUUAAUUUUUUUAGGGUUUAGGGUUUAGAGUAUACUUUUUAGGGUAUAGUGUUGAUAGUUUAGGGUUUAGUGUUGAUGGUUUAGGGUUUAGAGUUGAAGUUUAGGGUUUAGAGUUGAUGUUUCGGAGUAUAGGGUUUCGAGUUGAUAUUUUAGGGUUUAGGGUUCAUAUUUCAAAAAAAAAAAAGGGUUUUGGAUUGAUGGUUUAGGGUUUAGCAUUCAUAUUUUUUAAAAAAGAUUUAGAAUUGAUCGUUUAGGAUUUAGAGUUGAGUUUUGAAUAAUUAAACCCUUCAUACAAAUAUAUUUAUAUUGGGAUAUUUAGAUAAUGGUUAAUUUAUAAAAAAAUAUUUUUGUUGAAUUUAAGUGAUUGAAAAUUAAUUUAAAGUUCUCAGAAACUUAUUUGUGUUUAAUCUAAAUACUUAUUUAUCUUAUUAUGAUUUUUUCUCGAUGCCACGCACCAGAUUUUAUAUUAAAUCUGAAAUUUGAAGUUUGAUUGUUAAUUUGAAAUUUGAAAUUUUUUUGAGCGGAUCUCCUGCUUGAUGGAGAGGAGAGGAAGAUAAGAUACGACUUAGAAAAGAGGCGGUGGUGCUAGACGAUUUUUUUUUCCCUGCGUCCGCUUGUGAUGGAGGCUAGGUUUUUUAUUUUUUUAAAUACACCCGAAACAAAAUAAAAGGAUUUAUAGGAAUGGGCUUAAAUAAGAGAACAAUGUUAGAUCAAUGUAUUGUUUAUGUUUUAAUAGUAUAAAGCCCAUACGUAAACACAAUCGUAAACUUUAAGCACAAAAAAAAUGAUCUGAUUGGUCAUAAAGCCCAAACGUAAACUUUAAGCCCAAAAAAAAAUUUGAUUGGACGAAUAUUUUUGAUGACGUGGCGUUUUCUGGAUACAGAAUAUGCUGCUUUUAGUAUUGUGAUAUGCCCAGCCUCGUUGUCCCUUAGUCUUCCUAUGAAUAAUCUAUUAAAACAACUUGAAGCUGAACAAAAAGAAUAUGAGAGUAUUUAAUUAAGAAGAAACACCGAACUUGGACAUAAUGAAGUCAUAAGGUAUAUAGUUAUUGUUGCAACACUCAAAACCCAAAAAAUUACUAAGACACAAACGACAAAGAAUAAGAGAGAGGGAUAGAAGACAGAGAAGAAAUAAGUUAUAGAUGAAACAAUUUGAAAUUGUGCCAUGAAAUAAGGUGUUCAUUAGAGAAAAUUUAGGGAUUUAAGAUUUUACGGUUUUAAGAAAUUAGAGAUCGUGGUUAGUGGAGCUCUUUUUUUGAUUGGAGACAUUUCUUUUGUUGGUUUAUUUGCGAUAGUUUUUAAUCCAUAUGUUGAUAAUUAAUUAGUUUUUUUAUUUGUAAAAUAAUGACAUGCGGCAGAAUCUUAUUGUUCAAGUGACUUGUGUUUUAGUAUAGAAAUGAUCAUGAAAAAAAAUGACAAGUAAGCAAAUUAACUAAAAUUAUGGAAAAGAUGACAAGUAAGCAAAUUCACUUCUCAAAUAAUAGUAUAGAUCUUUCUAUCUGCAUCACCACCAGCAUCUUUCUCCUUGGAGAAGCGAAUGGCUUUAUCCACCACCUCUUUGUUAAGGAAUGUUUCCCUUCCAAACAUAAAAUGGAAGUGUCCAUCCAUAUAUGUAUCCGUUUUGUUAGCUUGUGUAGCGGUUCGUUCGGCCCCGAACGAUGCAACGGGUUUUGUCUCGACAAUUCUCCGAGAUGCGGAUUGAAUGCUAACGUCACCUCUUUUUGUGACUAUCUCUCAGCUGUCUGGCUUUGUUCUGAAGCCUUAUCGACGCAUUUGAGCUUGGUCUUGAAUUUGCAGUCAUCUUCUCAGGAAGAACUAUUCUACUUAUCUGCUUUUGUGAUUGUAGUUUAUCAUUUUAAUCAAAGAAGAUGGUACAUUUCUUCUUUUUAUUGUAACCGAAAGAAUUAAGUUUGAAUAAAAGUAAGUUGUGUUUCAAAAAAAAAAGGAUAACAACAAAAUAUAAUUCUCCUAAAUACACUAUUUUUAAGUUUUUGUCACGAAAAUAUACUACAAGGAAGAAAAUGACCAAAAUGUUUCAAUUAAUAGGUAAAAAGACCCUAAUACCCUAGAUAUAUAAAAAAAUAAUUUUUUUUUUGAAAUUUUCUUUUUCAAAAUUUUUUUAUUUUUUUUUCCAAAUUUUUUUUUGUAAUUCGAAAAUACUUUUUGAAACUAUUUUCUAAAUUUUAUUUUCAAAUUUUUAAUUUAAAUUUUUUAUUUUAUAAAAUUUUAAACCUUAAUCUCAAAUCUCUACCCCUUAACUUUAAACCCUAAGAGCACCAUUAUCCUAAAAACUCUAAAUGGUCUCUUAUAUUUUUUUAAUAUUUUUUAUUUGUAAAAGUGAAUUAAAAGGCUGGAUUAAGAGACCCAAAAAAUUAUGUGCUCCAUUGCAAGUCUCUUAUUUAAAGGUUCUUAAAAAAAAAAUUUAAUUAAACACCAAAUUUUUUUUAUUUUUCUUAUUAAACUUAAAUUUUUUCUUAAAACAUAGUACAAGCUAACUCUAUAUUCAAGUUUUUGAUUGAAAAACUUACAAAAGAACCAAGCACAAAGGGAUUCACAACAUUUGGAGUUUUCACCACUUUGAGUUUGUUAUCUCAAAUUAGCUGACAUUUGUUUGUUUUUUCACCUGAACCACCAUCUCUGAACGGCAGUCACCGGAGUAUUCAAGAAGGGAGCGUAACGUUGGAUCAUCGGAUUCACCGUCCUUCCGAUUUUGCUCCAAUUGCUCUGGUGGUAUCCUGCUGUUACUGGUGCUUGAUACAUCAGCUUCAGUAGCUGCCAUUAAAGACAACAAGACCUCAGGCUUUUACUUUAUUCAUGAGAACAACUAUCAAGAUCCAACCAACAAUCCUGGAAACUACGUUUAUCUUUCUUCAUGGAGAGUUAUGAACAAGUUUUUGAACUAGACGGUUUCUUAUGGCACAACACACAUGAUUUUCAACAUGAAGAGCAAAACUCCACUUCUCAUUACUAAGCUAAUAAAUAGUCAUAAACUAAUAAAUAGCCAAGCGUAAGGAACUAAUAGACGCACUGUAGAAAUGAUCAACAAUUUCAUACAAGACUCCAAAACACUUGAACAUGUUGUAAAUCUGACAUCAAUAUUGCUAAAGGGGACUAGAAUCUAAAGAAAAUGAAAGUGAUAAGUCAUUUACCUAUUUUCUUCCAGCUCUUGCCAUUAAACUUACAAACUGCUUGUGUCAAUGUCUCAUCCUGCAACAAGUCAAGAAAGCUCUCAUCUCAAUUCCAAGAGAGUGAUCCACCACAGUUUUUUUUAUAGACAAAAAGUAAUGAAUACGGAAGAGGUCCAGCCGCCUUUGGCUCGCCUUAUAGGGCUACUCGUCCUCCUGGCAUAACCAAAAACAAUUAUCAAAAUCAAUCUUAUAUAGAAACUAAAAGUAAUUGCAAUUACCAGUUUGGGAAAAACGAGUUCAUGUGAUUCAAAGUUGUAAGCUUUCACAGACAAAGAAGAAGUAAAGAAAGCUCUCAUCAGAAUCAAAGUUGUAAACUCUCCCUUCACCAAAACAAAUAUCACAAAGAAAAAAUCAGCUAUCAAAUUCUCAAAGUAUAUCAGAAUCAAAAUCUGGAAGCUGCCUAUUAUCUAGCACUACAACAACAACUAAUGACCAAAGGCAUAACAACGAUUCCUUUCAAUCGAAUCCUUAAUUGCGCAAUUAUGUGUGUUCACGAGAUGAAUCCAGAGAUCAGAGACGUUACGGGAGCAUAAUAAGGUCGAAAACGGAGUGGUGAUAUCAGAGAGAAGUAUCGGCGACGAUCUUGAUUCCAUGGCAUGCAUCAACUCCAACCUGAUUCUUCACGGAGGCCACCGUUACAUCUGCACCGCCUCGCCGCA